AGAUCAAAGUGUAGGUUUCAAGGGAUGUGUAGGGAUAUUGGAAAUUAUAAGUAAUGUUUUUGGAUGGAGAAGUUCUACAGGGCAAAGUCAAGAGCUCAGAUAUUGUACGUUCCAUAAGAAGAGUUGAGUUCCAAGGGCUAGAAUAAAAGGAGCUUUGGGUAAGCAUGGGUGCAGCAAGGUUUGAUAGAUCAGUUUGGUUCAGUAUAUCAGUAAAGUCAGAGAUUAGGAGAAAGGAAAGUGUUAGUAAACAACGGAGCAACAUUAGUGGAAGCUGACAAUAUGGUUCGGAGUAUCAACAACGAUUAACGAUUGGGAUUUAAAAGAGAAAGUGGUAGAUGGCUUUAAAGCUUAAGUUUAGAAAGGAAUUAGAAGAAGAAGAGUUUGAGAAAUAAUUGUGUAAGACAUAGAGCAGAUUAAGAAGAGCUUAAUAGAAGGUAGAAUUUCCAUGUUAAGAACACGAAGUCUUUGACGAAGAAUGAGGUAUCGUAAGGGUUAAAGUUAAGUAAUAUAAUUAGAAGGAGUGGUCAAGCUUUCUCAACAAGUAGAUGAUUCAUAGUCAAGCUUAUGAUUAUGUUUCAAGAUUAGUUUUUCGCAUAGAAGGAAUGUUUGAUCUCGGGUUGAGGUGGAAGACUUCAAGCACCGGAGGAAGAGGCGCAUCAGGAAGCCAGUUAAAAAAAAAGGUAAGACGAUAAGAUCGAAAGCAUGAGGAAUUAGGAAUAGUGAAGAAAAGUUUUUGAAGUGCAUGAAAAAGGGUGAUUGCAAUAUAAUCAGCUAAAGUGGGUAUUGAGAAUGAUCAUAGAGAUUGGUAAAGUCAGUUUUCAUCGGGUGUGGUUUUGUGGUGAUGUUUAGCGGUCGACUAAGUUUGAUCAAGAUAGAAGUGGAUGUUUAAUUAUGGUUAAACAGGGCAGUGAAUUGGUAAAUUCAGAUAAGGUCAGAGGGUCGACGUUGUGGGCUAGGGGUAUUCGGAGUUCAUAGGAUUAAAGGUAGGAUUAGUAUUUUAAUGAUUCUGAAUUGAGGAAGGUGAUUUUAGGACAAGGAUGUAAACUACGUUGCCAAUGAUAAGUACAUGAGGAAUUCUAAGUAAAUCUGGUAUUUGGGAGUCGCUAUAAGAGCUCAGGUUUGAGGUUUAUAGAAAGUAAUUUCUUGGCAAGAAGGAAAAGCAAGGAUGAUGCAUCAGGUAUUGUUUAGCAAAAGAUGGUGGCAAGUGUUAUGGGAAUCCAAGAUGUUUGAUAAGCUUAAGUGAAGAAGAUAUGAUGUCGUCGUUCCUAAGUCUGAGGUGUGAUUACAAGAGAGGUUUAUUUGUUUUCAAAUUGUUUCGGGUGGUUAUGGCCUUCAAAAGAAGUACUGUGUUGUGAGAAGAGGAAGCCUAGUUAUGCAUUAGAAGUGGGUCAAGUAUAAAGGAGAAAAUAAAGGGUUGUAGGAGUCAAAAUAUGUUAGCAAGAAUACGUGGAGAAGUGGUGGAUUGGUUAGAGCAAUUUGGACUCAGUGUAUUGGAAGGGAGAACUACAAGGUUAAAGAGUCUCAAAAGGAAAGUAGAAGGCAAGUUGAAAUAUUUUAGUUAAGUCUUGGUAAUAAGGAGUGAGUUCAAGCAUGUACGCUUUUCGAGGAGUAGAAAUAAUGUUGAGGAAAUGGAAUGACAAGAUUAUCAUGGAAGAAAGGAAUUACAGACUGUUGCAAAGUCAUAGAAGGUUUGAAGAAGGCUCUUCAAGGGUGAUCAUCUUCGGGUUACAAUUGUCAUGAGGAAGUGAUCUUUGAGUCAACUAGUGGACAAGGGAGUUUGAGGAUCAGAGUAGUGCAACGAAUGACGAUGAGCAUAUUGUUGUUAGUAAUAGGUAUCAGACGAAAGAGAUAAGGGAGCCUACGGUUUCAAGCUACAUGAUCAACUUUAAAGUGAGGAGGUAUUAAUGGACUUGGAACAGGAAGAGUGGGUCAGUGGACGAAGGGGAUGAUUUGAACUAUGGUUUUGAGUUAUAGCGGCAAUCUAGAGGUAAGGAAAUGUUAACAGAUAGUUUAAACAAAGAGAAGAUUCAGGUUAUUGGUUUGUUACGGGCAUAGAUCAAGAGUUAGUUGAAUAAGUGUGGAGAUCAGCGUCUAAAGGGAAUGUAAUAAAGAGAACUCAUUAGUAUAGUUGAAGUACUAUAACUAGUAAGUUUCUCAAGGUGGUUCAGCUAGGGCGAUUGGAUAAAUCCUAGUUUGAGAGGUAUCUUAAGUUGGAUAAGUACUGAUCAAGCUAGUGAUUUCAAGUUGAGCAGGAUAUAGAUCCAAGUAUGGUUUAGUUUGGUAGGUUAAAGGAAUGAAGAUGGAGUGUUCACUUUGUUUUAGAAGUUGCAAUAGAGAAGAAUUUUGCUUUGGUAAUGAGAUAGUAUAGUUGGAAACUAUGCUACUCAAGCGUAGAGAUCAGUAAACUAAGGUGAAGUACUCGAAAUUUAUGUGGUUGGAGGUGAUCAAGAUCAUAAUAGUUAGUAGUUAAAUCGGAAUAUAUGGUGAUCAAGUCAGUGGUAGGAUGAUUCUUAGAAGAAACAAGAGGAGGUAAAAGGGUAUCAAUCAAGGGUUGAUCUGAAGCAAAGACUAGUGGAAGUCCUAGAAGAGAUUUACAAGGAGGAGCAAAAGAUAGAUGAGGGGUUGGCGAUGUUGCAGACCUAAUAGGGUUGGUUAUGUGGAAACAAAGUUCUUAAAAGCUGAGGUGUAGGAGUUCAAAGUUUUUUUGAGCAUAAUGGCUAAACCAAUCUACACUAUUUAACACUAGAGCAUUUUAGCACAGAGGUAAGAUUUUUCAUGUCAGUAAAGUUGUUGGGGAGUUGUAUCCUUGUCAUAUAGGUAGUUGUAAUAGAGAAGGUGAUGAUAGUUGAGUGCUUCUUCUAUCUUAUAAGUGAAUUUUCGAGGACAAAAUUUUUUCUUGAUGGGGAGAAUGUAAGGACUCAUAAAAUAAAAACUUUGACAGUGUACAAUUGGCAGGAGAUCAGUGGUGUGAGCAAGUGUUCCUAAAACAAAGAUUUAAUUUGUAAAAUAUACUUAAGCUCAUAUCAUUUGUCUGAACAACCAACACCCUUCUCCCAAAGUUUUAUUUCCUUUCGUCUUCAUUCUCACAUCAUUUUCCUUCCACUAAUUCAACUUAAUCCUGAUCAGGAAGUGAUUGGGUCAUCCCAGCGUUGUGAACUACGAAAUCAACUGCUCAGUAUAGUGUCUUCCAUCUGGUAGGUUUUUCCCCUAAAUUUCCUUUUCAUAUUUUGAAAUGUUACCACGCAAUGUUCUACCUUGCAUGUGUUUAACAGCUCCUUUUCUCUAAUUAUUGGUUCAAUCAAAGUCUAAAAAAUCAUCU
rnacentral:lncRNA from 1 species